rnacentral:tRNA from 1 species
UAUGGCAGAAAUUACAUGCAAUGAACUUAAAAUUCAUUUAUAAAGAAUAAUCUUUUUUUAGAAAUU